GCCCGACUAGCUCACCGGUAGAGCGCCUCACUAGUAAUUGAGACACCUCGAUGUUAUGAGGAGGCAACAGGUUCGACUCCUGUGUUGGGCA